AAUGAACGUUGGCGGCGUGGAUUAGGCAUGCGAGUCGUACGAGAACCCGCAAGGGGAAAGUGGCGAACGGGGUAGUAAUGCGUAGGUGACGUGCCCUGCGGUCGGGAUAGCUUAGGGAAACUUAAGGUAAUACCCGAUGACACCAUUAGGUUUGAAUACUAUAUGGUCAAAGGUGUGAUUCCACCACAGGAGCGGCUUGCGUGGUAUUAGCUAGUUGGUGAGGUAACGGCUCACCAAGGCAACGAUGCCUAGGGGAUGUUAGCGCAUGAUCCCCACCACUGGGACUGAGAUACUGCCCAGACACCUACGGGUGGCUGCAGUCGAGAAUCUUCGGCAAUGGGGGAAACCCUGACCGAGCGACGCCGCGUGUGGGAUGAAGGCCCUUGGGUUGUAAACCACUGUCAGAGGGGAUGAAGUGCUAGAGAGCUAUCUCUCUAGUUUGACAUAGCCUCAGAGGAAGCACGGGCUAAGUUCGUGCCAGCAGCCGCGGUAAU
rnacentral:rRNA from 1 species